GAUGAACGCUGACAGAAUGCUUAACACAUGCAAGUCGAUUCGAUUUACCUUCGGGUAUUGAGGAUGGCGGACGGGUGAGUAACGCGUAAGGAACUUGCCUCUUGGUCUGGGACAACUGUUGGAAACGACAGCUAAUACCGGAUAUUAUGAGAUUCUCGCAUGGGAAACUUAUGAAAGCUAUAUGCGCCAAGAGAGAGCCUUGCGUUCCAUUAGCUAGUUGGUGGGGUAACGGCCCACCAAGGCGACGAUGGAUAGCCGGCCUGAGAGGGUGAACGGCCACAAGGGGACUGAGACACGGCCCUUACUCCUACGGGAGGCAGCAGUGGGGAAUAUUGGACAAUGGGCCACAAGCCUGAUCCAGCAAUUCUGUGUGCACGAUGAAGGUCUUCGGAUUGUAAAGUGCUUUCAGUUGGGAAGAAGAAAGUGACGGUACCAACAGAAGAAGCGACGGCUAAAUACGUGCCAGCAGCCGCGGUAAUACGUAUGUCGCAAGCGUUAUCCGGAUUUAUUGGGCGUAAAGCGCGUCUAGGCGGAAAAAUAAGUCUGAUGUUAAAAUGCGGGGCUCAACUCCGUAUUGCGUUGGAAACUGUUUUUCUAGAGUACUGGAGAGGUGGGCGGAACUACAAGUGUAGAGGUGAAAUUCGUAGAUAUUUGUAGGAAUGCCGAUGGAGAAGUCAGCUCACUGGACAGAUACUGACGCUAAAGCGCGAAAGCNUGGGGAGCAAACAGGAUUAGAUACCCUGG
rnacentral:rRNA from 1 species